rnacentral:rRNA from 1 species
UUGUCCCCUAAAUAGGGACUGGAAUGAAUGGCUAAAUGAGGAUAAAACUGUCUCUUACGGACUAGCCAAUGAAAUUGAUCCUCCAGUACAAAAGCUGGGAUAAACCCAUAAGACGAGAAGACCCUGUGGAGCUUUAAAACCAAAGCCACUAAACAUGCCUCUUGGAUUUUUAGUUGGGGCGACUUUGGAGCAAAAAAAAACCUCCAAAACAUGAAUUUAAUUAUUAAGACUAACACACCAAAAAAUUCUACUAGACCCAGCAGUAUCUUUUACUGUCUGACCAAUGAACCAAGUUACCCCAGGGAUAACAGCGCCAUCCUCUUCUAGAGUCCCUAUCGACAAGAGGGUUUACGACCUCGAUGUUGGAUCAGGACACC